rnacentral:rRNA from 1 species
UACGAAGGGUGCAAGCGUUACUCGGAAUUACUGGGCGUAAAGGGUGCGUAGGUGGUCGUUUAAGUCCGUUGUGAAAUCCCUGGGCUCAACCUGGGAAUGGCAGUGGAUACUGGACGGCUAGAAUGCGGUAGAGGGUAGUGGAAUUCCUGGUGUAGCGGUGAAAUGCGCAGAUAUCAGGAAGAACACCGAUGGCGAAGGCAGUUCUCUGGGACGGUACUGACGCUGAGACGCGAAAGCGUGGGGAGCGAACAGG